AUUGAACGCUGGCGGCAGGCCUAACACAUGCAAGUCGAACGAGUGGCGGACGGGUGAGUAAUGUCUGGGAAACUGCCUGAUGGAGGGGGAUAACUACUGGAAACGGUAGCUAAUACCGCCUACCAUCACAUGUGCCCAGAUGGGCUUAGCUAGAAGGGGGGGUAACGGCUCACCAAGGCGACGCUCCCUAGCUGGUCUGAGAGGAUGACCCGCCACACGGGAACUGAGAAACGGUCAAGAAUCCGACGGGAGGCAGCAGGGGGGAAUAUUGCACAAUGGGCGCAAGCCUGAUGCAGCCAUGCCGCGUGUAUGAAGAAGGCCUUCGGGUUGUAAAGUACUUUAAGCGGGGAGGCGUUACCCGCAGAAGAAGCACCGGCUAACUCCGUGCCAGCAGCCGCGGUAAUUC
rnacentral:rRNA from 1 species